rnacentral:tRNA from 1 species
GGCCGAGUGGCGGAAAGGUAGACGCACAGGACUUAAAAUCCUGUGGGCGGUGACGCCCGUGCGGGUUCGAAUCCCGCCUCGGCUA